AUUGAACGCUAGCGGGAUGCUUUACACAUGCAAGUCGAACGAGUGGCGGACGGGUGAGUAAUAUAUCUGCACGUUCCCAGUAGCUGGGGAUAACUACUCUACAGAGUGGCUAAUACCGCCUACUCUUGGAUCAGCCUAUCUCGGAUUAGCUAGUUGGUGGGGUAUAGGCUCACCAAGGCAACGAUCCGUAGCUGGUUUGAUAGUAGGACCAGCAAAACGGGGACUGAGACACGGCCCAGACGCCUACGGGAGGAAGCAGUGGGAAAUUUUGGCCAAGGGGGGAAACCCUGAUCCAGAAAUCCGGCGUAGAUGAGAAGGCCUUCGGGUGGUAAAGUACUUUUGGCAGAGAAGCGGUAUCUGAAGAAUAAGCAACGGCUAACUACGUGCCAGCAGCCGCGGUAAUUC
rnacentral:rRNA from 1 species